CCGAGUUUACAACUCCCAAACCCCUGUGAACAUACCACUUGUUGCCUCGGCGGAUCAGCCCGCUCACGGUAAACGGGACGGCCCGCCAGAGGACCCCUAAACUCUGUUUCUAUAUGUAACUUCUGAGUAAAACCAUAAAUAAAUCA
rnacentral:misc_RNA from 1 species